UUAGCGGAUGACUUGUGGCUGGGGGUGAAAGGCCAAUCAAACCGGGAGAUAGCUGGUUCUCCCCGAAAGCUAUUUAGGUAGCGCCUCGUGAACUCAUCUUCGGGGGUAGAGCACUGUUUCGGCUAGGGGGCCAUCCCGGCUUACCAAACCGAUGCAAACUCCGAAUACCGAAGAAUGUUAUCACGGGAGACACACGGCGGGUGCUAACGUCCGUCGUGAAGAGGGAAACAACCCAGACCGCCAGCUAAGGUCCCAAAGUCAUGGUUAAGUGGGAAACGAUGUGGGAAGGCAUAGACAGCCAGGAUGUUGGCUUAGAAGCAGCCAUCAUUUAAAGAAAGCGUAAUAGCUCACUGGUCGAGUCGGCCUGCGCGGAAGAUGUAACGGGGCUAAACC
rnacentral:rRNA from 1 species